AUUGAACGCUGGCGGCAGGCCUAACACAUGCAAGUCGAACGGUAACAGGAAGCAGCUUGCUGCUUUGCUGACGAGUGGCGGACGGGUGAGUAAUGUCUGGGAAACUGCCCGAUGGAGGGGGAUAACUACUGGAAACGGUAGCUAAUACCGCAUAACGUCGCAAGACCAAAGAGGGGGACCUUAGGGCCUCUUGCCAUCGGAUGUGCCCAGAUGGGAUUAGCUAGUAGGUGGGGUAACGGCUCACCUAGGCGACGAUCCCUAGCUGGUCUGAGAGGAUGACCAGCCACACUGGAACUGAGACACGGUCCAGACUCCUACGGGAGGCAGCAGUGGGGAAUAUUGCUCAAUGGGCGCAAGCCUGAUGCAGCCAUGCCGCGUGUAUGAAGAAGGCCUUCGGGUUGUAAAGUACUUUCAGCGGGGAGGAAGGGAGUAAAGUUAAUACCUUUGCUCAUUGACGUUACCCGCAGAAGAAGCACCGGCUAACUCCGUG
rnacentral:rRNA from 1 species